AUUGAACGCUGGCGGCAGGCCUAACACAUGCAAGUCGAACGGUAGCACAGAGAGCUUGCUCUCGGGUGACGAGUGGCGGACGGGUGAGUAACGUCUGGGAAACUGCCCGAUGGAGGGGGAUAGCUACUGGAAACGGUAGCUAAUACCGCAUAACGUCGCAAGACCAAAGUGGGGGACCUUCGGGCCUCACACCAUCGGAUGUGCCCAGAUGGGAUUGGCUAGUAGGUGGGGUAAUGGCUCACCUAGGCGACGAUCCCUAGCUGGUCUGAGAGGAUGACCAGCCACACUGGAACUGAGACACGGUCCAGACUCCUACGGGAGGCAGCAGUGGGGAAUAUUGCACAAUGGGCGCAAGCCUGAUGCAGCCAUGCCGCGUGUAUGAUGAAGGCCUUCGGGUUGUAAAGUACUUUCAGCGGGGAGGAAGGCGGUGAAGUUAAUAACUUCACCGAUUGACGUUACCCGCAGAAGAAGCACCGGCUAACUCCGUGCCAGCAGCCGCGGUAA
rnacentral:rRNA from 1 species